GCAGGAGGAAAAGCAACUAACAAAGGAUUCCCCUAGUAACGGCGAGUGAAGAGGGAAAAGCUCAAAUUUUGAAUCUGGUGUCUUUGACUCCCGAGUUGUAAUCUAGAGAAGUGUUUUCCGCGUCGGACCGUGCACAAAGUUCCCUGGAACGGGGCGUCAUAGAGGGUGAGAAUCCCGUAUAUGGCAUGGACCGCCGAUGCUCUGUGAUACACUCUCAACGAGUCGAGUUGUUUGGGAAUGCAGCUCAAAAUGGGUGGUAAAUUCCAUCUAAAGCUAAAUAUUGGCGAGAGACCGAUAGCGAACAAGUACCGUGAGGGAAAGAUGAAAAGCACUUUGGAAAGAGAGUGAAACAGUACGUGAAAUUGUUGAAAGGGAAGCGUUUGAAGUCAGUCGUAUCUGGCGGGAUUCAGCCUGGCUUUUGCCUGGUGUACUUCCCGUCCGAUGGGUCAGCAUCAAUUUCGAUCGAGGGAAAAAGGCGUGGGGAAUGUGGCUGUCUUCGGGCAGUGUUAUAGCCCUGCGUGGUAUGCCUCGGUUGGGAUUGAGGAACGCAGCGCGCCUAUAGGCCAGGGGCUACCCGCCUCUUGACACGCGCUUAGGAUGCUGGCAUAAUGGCUUUAAGCGACCCGUCUUGAAACACG
rnacentral:rRNA from 1 species